rnacentral:misc_RNA from 1 species
UCUCCGUUGGUGAACCAGCGGAGGGAUCAUUAUAGUAUUUAUAACUGCCAAACCCUAUGUCAACUUACCACUUGUUGCUUCGGUGCGCCCUUCGGUGCCGCCGAGGACACUUAAACUCUUUGUUUUUAUAAGCAUUUCUCAGUGGCCGAAAGUGAAAAUACAAAUGAAUCAAAACUUUCAACAACGGAUCUCUUGGUUCUG